rnacentral:rRNA from 1 species
UACGUAGGUGGCAAGCGUUAUCCGGAUUUAUUGGGCGUAAAGGGAACGCAGGCGGUCUUUUAAGUCUGAUGUGAAAGCCUUCGGCUUAACCGGAGUAGUGCAUCGGAAACUGGGAGACUUGAGUGCAGGAGAGGAGAGUGGAAUUCCAUGUGUAGCGGUGAAAUGCGUAGAUAUAUGGAAGAACACCAGUGGCGAAAGCGGCUCUCUGGUCUGUAACUGACGCUGAGGUUCGAAAGCGUGGGUAGCAAACAGG